GACGAACGCUGGCGGCGUGCCUAAUACAUGCAAGUUGAGCGCUGAAGGUUGGUACUUGUACCAACUGGAUGAGCAGCGAACGGGUGAGUAACGCGUGGGGAAUCUGCCUUUGAGCGGGGGACAACAUUUGGAAACGAAUGCUAAUACCGCAUAAAAUCUUUAAACACAAGUUUUAAGUUUGAAAGAUGCAAUUGCAUCACUCAAAGAUGAUCCCGCGUUGUAUUAGCUAGUUGGUGAGGUAAAGGCUCACCAAGGCGAUGAUACAUAGCCGACCUGAGAGGGGGAUUGGCCACAUUGGGACUGAGACACGGCCCAAACGCCUACGGGAGGCAGCAGGAGGGAAUCUUCGGCAAUGGACGAAAGGCUAACCGAGCAACGCCGCGUGAGUGAAGAAGGUUGUCGGAUCGGAAAAAUCUGUUGGUAGAGAAGAACGUUGGUGAGAGUGGAAAGCUCAUCAAGUGACGGUAACUACCCAGAAAGGGACGGCUAACUACGUG
rnacentral:rRNA from 1 species